rnacentral:rRNA from 1 species
UACGUAGGGUCCGAGCGUUGUCCGGAAUCAUUGGGCGUAAAGAGCGCGUAGGCGGCCAGAUAAGUCCGGUGUGAAAGUCACAGGCUCAACCUGUGAAUGCCGCUGGAAACUGUCUGGCUAGAGUCCGGAAGGGGCGAGUGGAAUUCCUGGUGUAGCGGUGAAAUGCGCAGAUAUCAGGAGGAACACCAAUGGCGAAGGCGGCAUCCUGGCCCUGUCCUGACGCUCAGGGGCGAAAGCGUGGGGAGCAAACCGG